CAAGGAAUUUUGGGCAAUGAGCGAAAGCUUGACCCAGCGACACCGCGUGAGGGAUGAAGGCCUUCGGGUUGUAAACCUCUUUUCUCGGGGAAGAAUUUUGACGGUACCCAAGGAAUAAGCCUCGGCCAACUACGUGCCAGCAGCCGCGGUAAUACGUAGGAGGCGAACGUUAUUCGGAUUUACUGGGCGUAAAGGGAGCGUAGACGGCUUCUUAAGUUAGAUGUAAAAUCUUCUGACUCAAUCAGAAGGUGUCAUUUAAUACUGAGGGGCUCGAGAGCAGCAGAGGGAAAUGGAAUUUCCGGUGUAGCGGUGAAAUGCGUAGAUAUCGGGAAGAACACCAGUGGCGAAGGCGAUUUCCCAGGCUGUUUCUGACGUUGAGGCUCGAAAGCGUGGGGAGCGAAGCGGAUUAGAUACCCGCAUAGUCCACGCCCUAAACGGUGGGCACUAGAUAUGGGAGGUAUCGACCCUUUCUGUGUCGAAGCUAACGCUUUAAGUGUCCCGCCUGGGGAGUACGGCCGCAAGGCUA
rnacentral:rRNA from 1 species